AGCAGCCGCGGUAAUUCCAGCUCCAAUAGCGUAUAUUAAAGUUGUUGCAGUUAAAAAGCUCGUAGUUGAAUUUCGGGAUUUGUCAGUUGGUCGGGCUUCACUGUCCGUAUUGACUUGAUGGAUUCUUACCUUCUGAAUAACCAGCAUGCUAUUAAGUUAGUGCGUUGGGGAAGCAGAUCUAUUACCUUGAAAAAUUAGAGUGCUUAAAGCGAGCUAGUGCUUGAAUAGAUUAGCAUGGAAUAAUAAAAUAGGACGGCAUGGUUCUAUUUUGUUGGUUUCUAGGAUCACCGUAAUGAUUAAUAGGGAUAGUUGGGGGCAUUAGUAUUCAAUUGUCAGAGGUGAAAUUCUUGGAUUUAUUGAAGACUAACUUCUGCGAAAGCAUUUGCCAAGGAUGUUUUCAUUAAUCAAGAACGAAAGUUAGGGGAUCGAAGACGAUCAGAUACCGUCGUAGUCUUAACCAUAAACUAUGCCGACUAGGAAUCGGACGAUGUUAAUUUUAUAAUGACUCGUU
rnacentral:rRNA from 1 species